rnacentral:rRNA from 1 species
GCAACCUCAGCUUAGGUGAUAACACUCGCUAAGUUUAAGCAUAUAAUUAAGUAGAGGAAAGAAACUUACAAGGAUUCCCCUAAUAGCGGUGAGCGAACCGGGAAGAGCCCAGCAUGAAAAUCGGGCAGCAGUGUCACCUGAAUUGUAGUCUGUAGAAGUGUCCUCAGCGGCGGACCUGGGUCAUGUCCCUUGGAAGGGGGCGCCUGAGAGGGUGACAGCCCCGUCGGCCCAGGACCCUGCCGCAUCACGAGGCAUCGUUGGCGAGUCGGGUUGUUUGGGAAUUCAACCCUAAUUGGGUGGUAAAUUCCAUCCAAGGCUAAAUACAGGCGAGAGACCGAUAGCGAACAAGUACCGCGAGGGAAAGAUGAAAAGGAAUUUCAAAAGAGAGUUAAAGAGUGCUUGAAAUUAUCGGGAGGGAAGCGAAUGGAGGCUGUCGAUGCGUCUCGGUUGGAUGUGGAACGGCUCAGGCUGAUCCGCCGCUAGACUUGAGGUGCAAACCAACACGGGCUGCUGCAUCGUCACAAGCGCAGGUGGAUUGCCGCCUGUCGGUUUGCCGCUGCGGUGGUCGAGGAAUGAAGUGUGUGCCCUUGUGGUGGGCUGUGUGCACCUGCGCGCUCGUGGUUUUGGUCGAUGGGCUUUCCAUUUGACCCGUCUUAAAACACGGACCAAGGAGUCUAACAUGUGUGCGAGUCAGUGGGUUUGAAAACCUGAGAGGCGCAAGGAAGCUGAUGGGCAAGAUCCCCUCUCUUGGGGGGGUGCAUUUUCGACCGACCUUGAGCUUAUGCGAAGGGUUCGAGUGCGAGCACACCUGUUGGGACCCGAAAGAUGGUGAACUAUGCCUGAGCAAGGCGAAGCCAAAGGAAACUCUGGUGGAGGCUUGUAGCGAUACUGACGUGCAAAUCAUUUGUCUGACUUGGGUAUAGGGGCAAGAGACUAAUUGAACCAUCUAGUAGCUGGUUUCCUCUGAAGUUUCCCUCAGGAUAGUUGGAGCUCACGCGUGAGUUUUAUCGGGUAAAGAAAAUUAUUAGAGGCAUCAGGCGUGUAAUGCCCUCGACCUAUUCUCAAACUUUAAAUAGGUAAGAGGGUGCGGCUGCUCCAUUGAGUCGCGUCAUGGAAUAGAGAGCUCCAAGUGGGCCAUUUUUGGUAAGCAUAACUGGUGAUGCGGGAUGAACCGAAAAUCGAGUUACGGUGCCGAAUUGCGCGCUAACCUAGAUCCCACAAAGGGUGUUGGUUGAUUAGGACAGUAGGACGGUGGUCAUGGAAGUUGAAAUCCGUUGAGUGUGUAACAACUCACCUGUCGAAUCAACUAGCCUCAAAAAUGGAUGGCGAUGAAGCGCGCAACCUAUACUCGAUCUUCGGAGCAAUUUCCUGGCUCCGAUGAGUAAGAGGACACAGGGGUCAUUAACAAACCUCGGGCGUGAGCUUGGGUGGAUCGACCCCCGGUGCAGAUCUUAGUGGUAGUAGAAAAUAUUCAAAUGAGAACUGUGAAGACUGAAGUGGGGAAAGGUUCCAUGUGAAUAGUACUUGGACAUGGGUUAGUCGAUCCUAAGAGAUGGGGAAGCCUUGUAUCAAGGGUGCACUCUGCAUGAGCAUCGAAAGGGAAUCAAGUUAAUAUUCUUGAACCGGGACAUGGUGGCGGGCGACAACGUUAGGAAAUCCAGAGACAUCGUCGGGGGCCCCGAGAAGAGUUAUCUUUUCCUUUUAACAGCUUUCCCACCCUAGAAUCGGUUCACCCAGAGAUAGGGUCCAGCAGCUGGAAGAGCCCCACACAUCUUGCGGUGUCCGGUGAGCCCUUUGCGGCCCUUGAAAAUCUGGAGGACCGAGUACCACUCAUACCCAGUCAUACUCAUAAUUGCAUCAGGUCUCCAAGGUGAACAGCCUCUGGUUAAUAGAACAAUGUAGGUAAGGGAAGUCGGCAAAAUGGAUCCGUAACUUUGGGAAAAGGAUUGGCUCUGAGGGUUGGGCCUAGGGGUUUGUGCCCUCAACUCGUGGGCUGUUGGCAGUUUGGCCGAGUUGCUCUCACGGCGAGGGCAGGCAGUCGCAUGUCGAUUGGGCUACAGGCAUAGAAUGCCCCCUGCCAGGGGCUUUUCCCUAGGCGUCGAACAAUCGACUCAGAACUGGUACAGACAAGGGGAAUUCGACUGUUUAAUUAAAACAAAGCAUUGCGCGGGUAAACAGUGGGAGUAACUAUGACUCUCUUAAGGUAGCCAAAUGCAUCGUCAUCUAAUUAGUGACGUGCAUGAAUGGAUUAAUGAGAUACCCACUAUCCCUAUCUACUAUCUAGUGAAACCACAACCAAGGGAAUAGGCUUGGAAGAAUCAGUGGGGAAAGAAGACCUUGUUGAGCUUGACUCUAGUCCGACUUUGUGAAAUGACUUGAGAGGUGUAGAAUAAGUGGGAGCCAUUUUCUCCGCAAGUGAAAUACCACUAAUUUUAACGUUAUUUUACUUAUUUUGUGGGGUGGAGAUGGGGCACUGCCCUUGUUUUUUGCCUUCAGGCACGUUUCGGAGGGUCGAUCCGGGUGGAAGACAUUGUCAAGUGGGGAGUUUGGCUGGGGCGGAACAUCUGUUAAAAGAUAACGUAGGUGUCCUAAGAUGAGCUCAACGAGAACAAAAAUCUCAUGUGGAACAAAAGGGUAAAAGCUCAUUUGAUUUUGAUUUUCAGUACGAAUACAAACCGUGAAAGCGUGGCCUAUCGAUCCUUUAGAUUUUCAAAAUUUGAAGCUAGAGGUGUUAGAAAAGUUACCACAGGGAUAACUAGCUUGUGGCAGCCAAGCGUUCAUAGCGGCGUUGCUUUUUUAUCCUUCGAUGUCGGCUCUUCCUAUCAUUGUGAAGAAGAAUUCACCAAGUGUUGGAUUGUUCAACCACCAAUAGGGAACGUGAGAUGGGUUUAGACCGUCGUGAGACAGGUUAAUUUUACCCUACUGAUGAACCACACUGCAAUAGUAAUUCAACUUAGUACGAGAGGAACCGUUGAUUCACACAAUUGGUCAUUGCGAUUGGUUGAAAAUCCAGUGAAACGAAGCUACCGUGUAUCGGAUUAUGACUGAAUGCCUCUAAGUCAGAAUCCAUGCAAGAAGCAGUGCAUGUCACUCUUCGACUAUAUCUCGACCCGCAGUAGGGGUGUCGCUUUGUAGCCCCUAGGGGCCUGUGUCAUUUGCAAACUGCGACCGUGAAGCAUCUCAGUCGGGGCAGCUUUGAAGUUCAAUUC